GAUGAAGAACGUAGCGAAAUGCGAUAAGUAAUGUGAAUUGCAGAAUUCAGUGAAUCAUCGAAUCUUUGAACGCACAUUGCGCCCGCCAGUAUUCUGGCGGGCAUGCCUGUUCGAGCGUCAUUUCAACCCUCAAGCCCCAGCGGCCUGGUGUUGGGGACCGGCGACCUCGCCCGAGCCCGCCCUCCGGGGCGCGUGCCCGGUGCGUCCGCCGCCCCCGAAAUGAAUUGGCGGCCUCGUCGCGGCCUCCUCUGCGUAGUAGCACAACCUCGCAAGCGGGAGCGCGACGCGGCCACUGCCGUAAAACGCCCAACUUUUUUAGAGUUGACCUCGGAUCAGGUAGGAAUACCCGCUGAACUUAAGCAUAUCAAUAAGCGGAAGGA
rnacentral:misc_RNA from 1 species